CGAUGUCAUUCCUGAUGUCUGCCAUCAUCAGCAGUAAGAAGUCAAAUGAACCUGGUGGGCCCUGCAGCCACAAGGCACGGUCAUUAAUCACAUUCCACUUUACUCUUACAGUUUUCAAACAGGACACGGAGCUAGUACCAUGUUAGAAACCUUGAUAUUUGAUAACCAUGAGGCUGUUCACCUUUCAAGUCAUCGUGGAAAUACUGCAAGUCUACCCAAAUGGAGGGCAGGAGAAAUUCAGGAGAGAUACAGCAACAAGUUGCCAAAAACUGAAGGCUAAUAACUGCUUGGAUCUUCUCAGAAAACCUAUUUUUCGUUAUAUGAAUUUUCCUCUGUUCAUUUACUGUUCUUCCUCAGGCCAACAUUUUCUCAGAUAUUAAGUUCCCAAUUGCUUGCACAAGUCCCUAGCUUUUCAUAGGUUUCAAUAAGAGACCAAAAUGCUUUGUGGAUCUGGCCCUGUAACCAUACCAUUUAACCCAAUGGAUGUCUGCAUCUGCUCUGUGUAAAGACACAAGGCACAAGCAAAUGAGAAUGCAAGGAGAAUUGCAUACUGUGGUUUAAAAUGUCAUUGCCCAUUAAAUAUCAGAUUCUGCUUGCCCA